AAUACUUACAUAAUUUUAAAAACCAGGGUCGAUAAGUGUAAUAAAUGAGUCUGGUGCUUGUGUAGGAUUCAUGUGGACUCCUGUUUCUGCUGGUACAGUCCAGCACUGGCAAAUCUGUGGCAAGACGUUCAGUUCCAGAGCCUCCAUGUCAAGGCCAGUCCACUGGCUUCAAGCCAAGAUGGAGAAAUGGAAACUCCAAAAGAUUAAGCAAGAAGCCCACAGGAAAACAAUUAGUAGAGCACUGAAUAACACUGUCCUGAUGUACCAAGUUUAUCCAUUCACCUACUGAAGGACAUCUUGGUUGUUGUAUGUUUUGGCAAGUGUGAAUAAAGCUGCUAUAAAUGUU